rnacentral:pre_miRNA from 1 species
NNNNNNCUCCGUCCCAAAAUUCUUGUCUUGGAUUUGUCUAGAUACGGAUGUAUCAAGUCACAUUUUAGUAUUAGAUACAUCCGUAUCUAGACAAAUCUAAGACAAGAAAUUUGGGACAGAGGGAGUAGUUG